rnacentral:rRNA from 1 species
GACGAACGCUGGCGGCGUGCCUAAUACAUGCAAGUCGACCUUAGUGGCGAACUGGUGAGUAACCCGUGGGUACCCUGCCCAUCAGAAGGGGAUAACCCUUGGAAACAGGUGCUAUUCCCGUAUACUGAUGGAUGGACCCGCGGUGCAUUAGCUAGUUGGUGAGGUAACGGCUCACCAAGGCCACGAUGCAUAGCCGACCUGAGAGGGUGAUCGGCCACAUUGGGACUGAGACACGGCCCAAACGCCUACGGGAGGCAGCAGUGGGGAAUCUUCGGCAAUGGACGAAAGUCUGAUCGAGCAACGCCGCGUGAGGGAAGAAGGUUUUCGGAUCGUAAAACUCUGUUGGUAGAGAAGCGGUACCUAACCAGAAAGCAACGGCUAACUACGUGCCAGCAGCCGCGGUAAUUC